ensembl:lncRNA
GGCGGACACGGGACUUUCUCUCCUUUGGGCGGAACCAGGAACCAGCCCUGCCUCACAGGCUGCGCUGCAUCCAGACGGGGUCAGGCGGGGAAGCCCUCGGCUCUGUGUCUGGGACGCACGAGCUCUGCUGGCGUGAUUGAUCCGCGGGGACAGCCAGCCGGGCGGCGUCUACCGUCCAGAGUGUCCCUCCCGGGCUCUGCCGGCUGGGACCCCCGGGCCGAGGCCCCUCUGGGCGGACGCUCCCCGCACCGUCAGCCUCUGCUUUAGCGUCUGUGUUCCGGACCCUUCACUCCCUGCGUGAGCUCUUUCCAGACUGAAAACAGGUGGCUGUCUCAAGAGGCCAGAGGUCACCCCUGGAGCCGUUGUCAGAUGCUGGCUUCCUUCUCGAAAGCUCCCUCAGGCCUGGGCAGGGCGAUGGGCCUCUGGGAGGCUACCUUCACCCACCCUUUGCGUUUUUCCUUCUCAAAUUCUGUUUCACCCUUCCCUCCUCACCAAAAGCAGAGGCAGAAUGGCAAACCCAAAACGAAAAGACAAACACAACGACACACACGCACGCAACUAGAAGAACCUCAGCCUCUAUUUGUUUCCACCCCGCCGGCCACGUCCCGGGCCAGAGAUGACAGGGUAUUACAAUGUGCGUGUCCUUUAGAUAAGGCUGAAUGUGAAAUUGGAAUUAUAUCACUUCUUCCCCCAAGAGCCUGUCCUGCGUCCUCAGCCUCCUGGAAGGACAGCGCCACCAAAUACCUCAUCUGCACCCGUGAGCCCAGAGAGGGCCUUCGGCAGCCUCCCUCCGGUGAUGGUGUCACGCUGCGCUCGGCUCCUCGCGCCCGAGCCUGGGGUUCACUCGGCUCCCCCCAGCCCUCCAGCGAGGCCUGUCAGCGCCGCCUCCAGAAGCGUCCCCAGAGCAGCCCCUGUCCCGUCUCCGCCACCUCCGUCCAGAAGCAGCCUCGUCUGUCCCCUGGGCUCCCGCAGGAGCGCCUGGCCUUCCCCUUCGCCCGCGCUCCGUGCAGCAGUCACGGCGACGCUUCUGCCUAA